UACGGAGGGGGCUAGCGUUGUUCGGAAAUACUGGGCGUAAAGCGUACGUAGGCGGUUUGGUAAGUCAGGGGUGAAAUCCCAGAGCUCAACUCUGGAACUGCCCUUGAAACUGCUGAACUAGAAUCUUGGAGAGGUCAGUGGAAUUCCGAGUGUAGAGGUGAAAUUCGUAGAUAUUCGGAAGAACACCAGUGGCGAAGGCGACUGACUGGACAAGUAUUGACGCUGAGGUACGAAAGCGUGGGGAGCAAAC
rnacentral:rRNA from 1 species